rnacentral:rRNA from 1 species
UGGGGAAUAUUGCACAAUGGGCGCAAGCCUGAUGCAGCCAUGCCGCGUGUAUGAAGAAGGCCUUCGGGUUGUAAAGUACUUUCAGCGGGGAGGAAGGGAGUAAAGUUAAUACCUUUGCUCAUUGACGUUACCCGCAGAAGAAUCACCGGCUAACUCCGUGCCAGCAGCCGCGGUAAUACGGAGGGUGCAAGCGUUAAUCGGAAUUACUGGGCGUAAAGCGCACGCAGGCGGUUGAUUGAGUCAGAUGUGAAAUCCCCGGGCUUAACCCGGGAAGUGCAUUGGAUACUGGUCAGCUAGAGUCUUGUAGAGGGGGGUAGAAUUCCAUGUGUAGCGGUGAAAUGCGUAGAGAUGUGGAGGAAUACCGGUGGCGAAGGCGGCCCCCUGGACAAAGACUGACGCUCAGGUGCGAAAGCGUGGGGAGCAAACAGG